CCCGCCCGGGCACUACGAGCACAGCUUAAAACCCAAAGGACUUGGCGGUGCCUCAGACCCACCUAGAGGAGCCUGUUCUAGAACCGAUAAUCCUCGUUAAACCUCACCACUUCUUGUUUUACCCGCCUAUAUACCGCCGUCGUCAGCUUACCCUGUGAAGGCCCAACAGUAAGCAAAACUGGUCAGCCCAAAAACGUCAGGUCGAGGUGUAGCGUACGAAGUGGGAAGAAAUGGGCUACAUUUUCUAAUAAUAGACUAUAACGAAUAGCACGCUGAAACACGUGCUUAAAGGUGGAUUUAGCAGUAAAAA
rnacentral:rRNA from 1 species